UACAGAGGGUGCGAGCGUUGUUCGGAAUUAUUGGGCGUAAAGCGCUUGUAGGCGGCUUGUUAAGUUCCGUGUGAAAUCCCCAGGCUUAACCUGGGAAGUGCGCGGAAAACUGGCGAGCUUGAGUGCCGGAGAGGGUCGCGGAAUUCCCGGUGUAGAGGUGAAAUUCGUAGAUAUCGGGAGGAACACUUGUGGCGAAAGCGGCUCACUGGACCACAACUGACGCUGAGGCGCGAAAGCUAGGGGAGCAAACAGG
rnacentral:rRNA from 1 species